rnacentral:misc_RNA from 1 species
CCAAGUUGUACGAGUCAUGCGAUUCAGGCCCGAGUCUCGCAACUCUAUGCACGCGUCGCGAAUCACGCGCGUACGACGUCGCUGACGGCGUGACGUUAUUGUGUCACAUUGUGCGUGCCAGCGUGUGUGCGUGCGAAUCAAGAUCAUCAUCAACGAUCCCGGAGCGCACACGAAUCCGAAUCGACGCGAGAAACACGGCGACGGUGCUGGCCACCACAUCGCGCGACCCGAAGACCCUCGCGCGCAUUUCUCGCGGUUCCGCUCCGAGAACGAGCGAAUAAACGAAACGAAAGGCGCGUUAUGCCGCGCCGUCCGCGAUAAUAUACACGUGUACGCUCGCGUCCGCGCGAGCGCGCGCGUGUAUGCAUAUAUAUAUAUAUAUAUAUACAUGUGCUUGUGCUGUACGUGUAGAUCAUCUCGUUAUCAUUUGAGUGAUAAGCGAAUGACUUUUGCUCGACGGCCCGUUGGAACGCGCUGAGUCGCUCAAGGCAAGCAACGAUCUGACAGAUCGUCAUGCAAUCAUGGACAUCGAGAAUGGCAACGACAGCGGUAUCAACGGUAGCAUCAGCGACGAAUCACGUAACAGUAACAAGUCCAUCUCGCUGAAGCAGACUGAUGCUGUCCAUAACAGGUCCCUCGGCAGACCAGUCGGCUGCGUGCACAGAAUGAGCACGAUGCCGGAAGAGGAAGACGUGUCCGAUGACACAGAUCCAGACGUGAUCAAGAUCGGGCAUCAUCAGCACACGAACCGCGCCGAGAUCGGGCCCGAGUGGUCCUCGGAGGAGAAAAGUCGUUUGCUGAACUCCGCCGGGAGCAGAAUCGUCAUCAGCUCGGCGGGUGCGAGCAAUGGUAACACCGGAAGGACGACCAGUCGUGAUGCCGAGAGUCCCGAGAGCAUUCAGAACGAUCAUCAUCGGUGGUCACCGCAGUCUCGGCCGGCGACCGAUCAGACCGAGUCCAGAUCGAGUUCCGACCACGACAACGGAUACCAGAGCCCUGGCAGAUUGUGCGUCAAGAACGUCGAUCAGCCGCACGCUACGAGGCACCAUCAUCAUUGCCAUUGUCCCAGCGUGCGCGCACCGAGGGUUACCAGUGUCGUUAUGGACGAAUGCCAGCAGCAACACUGUUCCUGCUGCCUUCAGUCAUCACCACCUACCUGGGCCUCCAUUCUGUACGAGGCCAACGGGAAUCAGGCCCGCUCGUUUGCCGACACGGUUUCGAUCAGAUCCCUAGCGUCGAUCGGCCUGGGUUCUUCCGACGGCCGGAAGCUUACAAUACGUAGAGUUCCCACUUCGCCGUCGGAGCUGCUUAACGUGGUACAUCCGCCGCCUUUCGAGGACGAGUUUUCCACGUGUACCAGUUAUGACGACGGCGACGCGGAUGACUCCUGUGAUUAUCGGCAGCCCAGGAGGCCUCAUUGGGCGAAUAAAGUGCAAUUUGUGUUGGCCUGUAUCGGCUACUCCGUUGGUCUUGGUAACAUCUGGAGAUUUCCCUACUUAUGCUACAAAAGUGGCGGUGGUGUGUUCCUCGUGCCUUACUUUUUGAUACUCAUUGUAUGUGGCGUACCGUUGCUAUAUAUGGAGCUCAGCAUCGGACAAUUCACUCGUCGCGGCCCAAUCGGUGCUUUGGGUCAAGUGUGUCCGUUAUUGAAAGGAGCUGGUCUAUCGUCAGUCGUAAUAUCGUUUCUAUUAUCAACCUACUAUAAUGUGAUAAUAGCCUACGCAAUCUACUAUUUUUUUGUGGCUUUCCGUGCGGAACAGCCAUGGACGCAUUGCGACAAUUUGUGGAACUCGCCACGCUGUUGGCUGCCCAGUUAUGAAUCCAUCGAUAAUCGAACCCGUCCAAACUUGACAAGGACACCGUCCGAGGACUUCUUCGACAACAAGGUCCUGCAAAUUAGUAACGGCAUAGAAGAACCAGGGAUUUUGAGAUGGGAGCUCGUGGCAUGUUUGAUAACCGCGUGGAUCAUGGUAUAUUUUUCCAUCUGGAAAUCCAUUAAAUCAUCAGCGCAAGUAAGGUACCUCACAGCAACGUUACCAUUCCUCUUGAUUGUGGUCUUCCUCACGCGCUCUCUUACUCUGGACGGCGCCUCAAAAGGUCUACAAUAUUUUUUUCAUCCACGCUGGGAACUGCUUGGCGAUGCAAAGGUCUGGAUAAACGCUGCAGCGCAGGUCUUCAAUUCUGUGGGUAUCGCCUUCGGAUCGAUGAUAUGCUUUGCAAGUUACAACAGAUUCCACAAUACGAUUCUGGUGGACACGAUCGCCGUUUCAGUUAUAAAUGCUUUCAGUAGUUUAUUGGUCGGAAUAUUCUCGUUCGCCACAAUUGGCAACAUAGCGCUGGAGCAAAAUAUGUCCGUCGAAGAUGUCUUGACCGACGGACCUGGUCUAGUCUUCGUCAUCUAUCCGCAAGCGUUAGCUAAGAUGCCAGCUUCUCAACUCUGGGCUGUGCUAUUUUUCUUCAUGCUGGUCUGCCUUUCGUUGAACAGUCAAUUUGCCGUUGUUGAAGUGGUCGUCACAUCGAUUCAAGAUGGCUUCCCGAAUUGGGUGAAGCGUCAUCUUCUCUGUCACGAAAUGUUGGUCCUUCUCAUUUGCAUCGUGUCGUUCUUAUUUGGAUUGCCAAAUAUUACGCAGAUCACUACGCCGCAUCCAGAUCCAUCAUGUUCUUGGCGUUUUUUGAAGUGAUUGCCAUUUCUUGGCUUUAUGGCGUGCGACGGCUGUGCAAUAACGUCAAAGAGAUGACCGGGCGUCUGCCUUCGAUGUACUUUCGCUUUUGUUGGUUCCUCGCUUCGCCACUUCUCAUAAUGGCUGUAUGGGUGUUCAGUUUAAUUGAUUACGAGCCGCCGACCUACCACAACGGCGAUUAUAUAUAUCCAUGGUGGGCAGAAGCGAUCGGAUGGGGCAUCGCGUCUCUCUCCUUAAUUUGCAUUCCCGCUUUUGCUAUCUACG